rnacentral:rRNA from 1 species
AACCUCGACGGAAAAAACGGCGAGAAACAGUAUCUGGCGGGCAGUUUGAGUGGGGCGCUCUCCUCCCAAAAAGUAACGGAGGAUUCUAUUAAGGUCAGCUAGGCGCGAAUGGAAACCGUGCCGAUAGUGUAAUGGCACAAGCUGGCUUGACUGUGAGACGUACAUGUCAAACAGGUGCGAAAGCAGAGCAUAGUGAGCCGACCGUACGCGUUAGAUGCGGCGGAAGAUCAAAGGAUAAAAGCUACCCUGGGGAUAACAGGCUGGUUGCGCCUAAGCGUCCAUAGCGACGGCGCAGUUCGGCACCUCGAUGUCGGCUCAACUUAUCCUGGAGGUGGAGAAGCUUCCAAGGGUAUGGCUGUUCGCCAUUUAAAAAGUUACGCGAGCUGGGUUCAGACCGUCGUGAGACAGGUUGGACUCCUAUCUACUGCAGGCGUUCGAUUCUUGAGGGGAUUUGACUCUAGUAAAUUUUGCUACUUCACGAAGUAAUUUGUGAUGACAAAGUGGCUAAUAACGGUGAAAUCUUGUGGACGUUUGGUCUGUUGAUAACUAUUGCCGGCCUAGUCCGUAGGCAGUGGUACAAUGGUAAGUAUAAACUUACUUGAGGACCAGAAAAACACAAGACAAUACCGUGGGAAGUCGAUCCAAUCAUCUUGCUUAUAUUGCUGGGUUUCUUGAUGGAGACGGAAGCUUAAUGCUUCAAAUCAAGAAGCGUAAGGACGGCGCGCUUAAAAGGCGUUUUAUGCCGACCAUUUGCUUCUAUCAAGACACUCGACAUGAAAAGCCGUUAAUGUGGGUUAGAGAAAUUCUUGGUAUCGGGUACCUUUCCAAAAGAAAUGAUGGAAUGACCGAAUUAAGAAUAAAUGGAUUCGUACAAGUGCGAGAUAUACUCAAAGCACUUAUGCCAUACAUUCGUUUCAAGAAACUUCAGGCUAUUGCUUUACGUAAAGCCUGUGAAAUUCUUUCUCUAGCCAAACGGAGACGACUCAUAAAUAAGCAACUACUCGUUUUAGCUGAUCUUAUCUUAGUAAUUCAAGAAGAAAAUUAUGUUACUAAGAAAAAGCGGUCUAAAAACGAAUUGUUAGAGAUGUUGGGUUUGACCCCGUAACGACUUGUCGGUGAAAGCCGGCAGACUUGCAUAAUGAGGAAUCGUUUCAUUGAAAACGACAGCAUAUGCAAGUAAUACGCCAACACCCUAAAACAUUUUAAAAUGUUUGGGUGAAGAUAUAGUCUGCGCUCCUAGUGAUAGGGGAAUGACGCGACGAGAGGACCGAGUUGAACCGACCUCUGGUGUACCUGCUGUCCUGCCAAGGGCACCGCAGGGUAGCUAAGUCGGGCACGGAUAAAUUCUGAAAGCAUCUAAGAAUGAAGCCAACCCCAAGAUUAGGAAUCGUUAUUAGGGCCCUGGGAGAUGACCAGGUUGAUAGGCGCUAGGUGUAAGCACCGCAAGGUGUUGAGCCGAGGCGUACUAAUUGCCCGAAUUCUAUUAGGAA